CAUUAUGAAGUCAUAUAAAUGGCAACAACUCUUAGAAUCCCUAUCCCCGAGAUAAUAUCCUCUAGAGACAGUUUCAUGGACAUGUGCCCAGGCUCUCAGUAGGAUUGUCCAGCAUAGACUAUCUCUGGGAAGGCCUAAGAGAUGCCACCCUAAGUGCCAUACUUUUGUGCAGAUUUGGAGCUUCUUCUGGAGGCCCACAGCAUCCAGAUAUUCCUCGUGAAGGGUCAAGAUCUUCAGUUUCACCUACUAUCUCAUGGGCCUAGCCAAGCCUUCCUCCAAGAAUCAGUAGGAAAAUCAAAUCAAAUAAUGUAUAUGUGGUACCAAGUACAGCAGAGAGACUCAACACCACACAUACCACCCAAGAUUCUGGACCUCAGAAAUCUUCAAUUAUUAAAAGUUGAGCCAUGGAAGAAAACCAAGUUGCUCUCAUUGACAGCCCAGUCGUCAAGCACGUGAACAGAGUUGUCCGGGUCCAGCCAGCUACCAACUGACCCACCGAGAUCUGCCAACAGAUUGGAAAUGCCACAUGAGUCCAUCUGUCACCAUAUGGAACAGAUCUGGGCUUUCUCAGCUGUAUUCAACCCAAACUACUGACCUAAAAUGUUGUGGGCAAAUAAAUAAAUAACAGUCAU